CAAAGGCUUGGUCCUGACUUUACUAUCAACUUUAGCCAAAUUUACACAUGCAAGUAUCCGCGUCCCUGUGAAAAUGCCCUACAGUCCCCCAUCCGGGAACAAGGAACUGGUAUCAGGCACAUCUAUCGAGCCCACGACACCUUGCUUAGCCACACCCUCAAGGGAACUCAGCAGUGGUAAACAUUAAGCCAUAAGUGAAAACUUGACUUAGUUAAAGCUAACAGGGCCGGUAAAACUCGUGCCAGCCACCGCGGUUAUACGAGAGACCCAAGUUGUUAGACACCGGCGUAAAGAGUGGUUAAGUUAAAACCUUUUACUAAAGCCAAACAUCUUCAAGACUGUUAUACGUAACCGAAGACAGGAAGUUCAACCACGAAA
rnacentral:rRNA from 1 species